UCUUGCAAAUUACUUAUCAAAGUCUAUAAAUAUCACGCCUGCUGCCUGAUUGCUUGUUUACUUUCUGUUCUCGAGUCUGAGUGAGAAGCGUCAUGAGGACAGAGGUCUCAGGGGCUGGCUCACCACUGCUCCUUCUGGGCCUAGCGCGGCUCCUGGAACCCAGUGGGAGUUCCGCUGAUGGCUGUCCAUUGGGAAAAUGAAGACUGAAUGAGUUCUCCGGGGGGAAAUGAAAUUUCCACAAUUGGGAGGAUUUAAGAAGUUGGAUGGCCAGUAGGCGGGAAGCCAACCCAACUCCUGCGUUAGUUGAAGAUAUAAGGAAAACAACAACAAUACCUACCUCUUAACAUUGUGAGGCUUAAAGGAGCAGGGGGCCUAGAUCCACAAACUCCUGAAGUCAAGUUGGGAAACAUGUUCACUCCUGUUGUGUGUACCAUGGAAGGUGGAGGGUGGCAGUUAGUGCGGUUUAAACAGUUCCUGCACCUGCUAGAGCCAGCCCUCCAGUAGCCUAGGAGCACAGCCACCCAGAAGAGGAAAGCUUUGAAAUUUGUGUUUGGCCCUGGAGCUCUUGGCCACUGAUGGGAGUGGCAGCUCUACAG